AUAAAAUUAUCUCCGAACGGCUUGAACUCCGGAAUUCCGGUUUUGGCAUAACUCCGGAGCUUCGAAAGGUUAGAGAUUCGUUUGUAAAAUCGGAGUUAUCGUGAACAUAACCGGAGUUUCGAUUUUCAUAUUUUUAGAAAAAUGACGAGCUUUUUCAGCGUUUACAUAUACAUUACAGGGUCUAAAUUAUACAUAUGAAAUAGGAUAAAACUUAUCCAAUUUUAUCGAUGGAAAACAUAACAAAAAAUCUUAUUAUAAUUAAUUUUACCAGG